AGCACCACAGUGUAUGAUUAAAUAAAAACAAUACACUCUGGAAGAAAAGGAAAAAAACUCAAUAGAAUUACAGUACUGCAUGCAAGUUGGAACCUGGAUUAGGUUGGUUAAACCCCAUAAUCACUCACUGUCUAUUUAUCAGGCUUACACAGCAUUUUCCAUGUAAUCUUAUCACUAAGGUGCGGCAUUUCCAGGUAUAAUUAAUGUUACAUUUGAACAGAGCACACUGACAGUGUUUGUAUGGUCCUUUAUCUGGUUCCCUCCCACAUUCCAAAGAGUUGUGAACUGUCGACUCUGGACUGCACAUAAUGUUAGGUUUGAUAUGACAUGCCAUUAUUCCUUUUAUAAUUUCUAUUAAUAUGGCAGCCCCUGCCAAAUUAUCACAAGGAAAACUGCUGUCCUUCCCCAAUGAACAGUAAGAGGAAAAACCCCCAUGCAAUGAAAGGAAACAAAAGAUGAAAUGACAGAAUGUUCUGAACUUGUGUGGAGUGAGUAGAAUAUACAAGUGUAAGACAUUUUAGAAAAAUGCUUCCUGUGCAUCACCCAAAUGCCCAGUAGAGACUGAGUGGAUCUUUCACCAAGCUCUUGGCCUGGGUUUUGUCCUGGUUGUUUACCUGAAGGAUUCACCCAAAUCCAGCAAAUCCAACCUCUCAGGCUUUGAGUGCUACCUUACUGUUUUAGCUUAGCUGCUUAAUGUGGGGCUUACAAACACAACGAUCAUAAUGGUACAAUCAUGUAUCCCCCUGUUUAAGGGUGUUGUGGAGUUUACAUGCAAUUUCCUCCAUCAUACUGCCACCCUUGUUCUAUGCGGUGUGGUGGUUUUGUCCAAUCAACCUCUUCCUCAAUCUUGGCUUAAUGUCAAAAUUAAACAAUAAGUUCCACCCUCCCAUUUCCUGAAACCACUUGUCCUAUUCAGGGUUGUGGGGUGUCUGGAACCUAUCCUGGAGACUAUGGGCACAAGGCAUGGAACAACCCAGGAUGGGGUGCCAACCCAUAUCAUGGCACACUCUCACACUACUGCCUAUAGGCAAUAUGGUAACUCCAAUCAGCUUCAGCCAUCUUUUUGGACGGGGGGGGGGGACCAGAGAAAACCCCAAGAUGGCAUGAGGGUUCCAGGGGUGUGAGGCAAUAGUGCUGACUUAAGGAUAAGUUGAAAACUGUAAUAUCUAAUAAAAAUACACUUCAAAGUAUUAAAUUACGCGUCUCAACUGUGUUUGACUAAAAAACUAAAGCAUUUUAACCCCAAUUCAUUUCCAAAGCACGUACAUUUUAAAAAGGCACGCAGGACAACUACGCAAUGGUCUUUCACAACUACCCCAAAUAGACAGACAAACAUUUCCAGUGAUUUCCCAUCCAAAGCGUCAGUCAUCCAAAGAUCCACAGCCUCGCCAAUUUUAACGGAGACAUGCAACAUCAAAAGAACUUCCAAAGAGCAGUGAUUCAGGGGCGGAAAGAGCGGCUUAUGACGAAGAAGAGACGAAGGGAGACAUCGCUAGAUAAUACUCCAGUUCACCUCGAGGAAUUUUCGUGAUAGUACA